UUUCGCAAUGACUUUUGAAGCCGAUUUUGGAGGUCUAAACUAGUUUUUUUGAGAUUUUAACUAGAAAUUCGAAAAAUUCAGUUUAAAUUCUAUAUAGAUCUUAGGUUUUUUGAGGAAUCUAGGUAAAUU
ensembl:ncRNA T07D3.12 ncRNA